rnacentral:lncRNA from 1 species
AUUCUGACACUACAGAAGCCACUUGACAUGCAACAGAAUAGAGGCAGGUAAUUGUGGUUAAUGGCUCCCCAAGUACGUUUGGUAAUAUACAUCACCAAUACAACAAACACUAAUUGAGAGGUCAGCCGGGACUCAGUUGGGGUUCAUGCCUGGUUACAGAACUGAAUAAGCCUUGGUCACCCUGAUGGAUGAAUUUUAUCAAAUGGAUGACAAGGGGAGUGUAACUCUGUUUUUCUUACUUAGCUUCUGAUACCACUGGCCAUAGAGGGCGAGCUGUCAUCAGUACACUACUGAUACCCUCUGUAACAUCUGAAUUGGGAGAAGCUGUACAAGCCCUGGACUGAUGUGUGAAGUUGGUAGUGGGCUGGAUGAGGGCCAGUAACCUGACUGAAUUGUGGCAAGCCAGAGGUACUGUGAUCGGAUCAUCGAGUCCAUAUAAUCAGUCAUUUGCCUGCUUUGGAUGAGGUUAUACUCCCCCAAAGUGCACAUUCAUAGUCUGGGAAUACUCCUGGGCCCAUCUCUGUCACCAGAGGCCCAGAUAAUCUUAGUGGCUAGUAGUGCCUUUUACCAGCAACAAUCAUUUCUCGAUCAAUGUAGCCUAACCACUGUUGUCUAUGUGUUAGUCACCAGGGAAAGGCUGCUGUAGACAUCUGAAUGGCACAUACAUGUUCAUUAUUUCUUUAGUUUUUUACAAUAUAUGAUCAAAACUGGAUUACUGGAAGAAUAUGGGUGGCAAGACAAAUAAAAUGUUACAGUAUUAUCAAGGCUGUUUGAGAUUCAGCCUUCUAAUUCUGAAUUGUUUUAGAGUCCAGAAUGAUGCAUUGUGCAUUAGCAUUUUGUACCUCCAUCUUGGGAUCCAACUGAUGGAUGAUGAGAGGUGAGAUUCACAUUGAUCCUCUAUCACUUCAUCAUAAAUCAGGGGAUUUAUUCAGGGAGGGAGGGAGGAUCCAUGUUUCAGUGUAGGACAUUUCUGCCUGCCUCCAUAAAUUUUCGACCAGUUUUAAUCACUCUGAGACUGAUAACCAUCAAACACUGUUAAUUUCCAACAAAUUAUCUAAUCCAGAUGGUUGAACAAUCUGAAUAAACACUGGACCCAAUAGGAUCAUAAAAUAAAUAAGCAUGAAACGGUUUAAGGUUUCAACUCUCAGCUCACCUAACCUAGGACCUCAGCAAGCUUCCCAUCUUUCCAAACAGGAAAAUGUAAAUAUGGUAAUAUGUAGCACGUGUUUGCAACAGGAUUGACUUUCUGCUAGUUUGCAUGGUGAAAGCCCACACACAUAACUGCCUCAAGGGAGAUAAACUUCAUUUAGACUAAUAUGUUAAUCAUGAACCAGGCCUAGGCUCUUUUACCAACUCUAUUACAGCUACUCCAAAAGUAUGAACAGAGCAAUAAGGUGUAUGAUUGUGAUUCAGUCAAUUUUGGUAAAUUAUUGAUACAUUUCAGGAAAGAUGCAAGAUAGUUUUGGAGUGUGGAAAACAAUAAAGCAAAAUGAGAAAAUGUUUGCAGUUCAGAAAGUCAAAAUUGAGUCCUGGAUUGAGGUGACAUUUAAAAGUUGUGCAAGAUUCCAUUCCACCUCUUCUAUUUGGAUUUAUUUGGAUUAUAUCACUGGAUUUCUGCUCCUAAAUGCAAUGGGUGAGCACAGUAAUAGAAUGAUCAAAUCAUUGGGAAUUAGAAUACCAAUGCUCAUCAUUAUUCCUGAGCAAGUUGAAGUGGAAGAAUCAAGUCUAUUUACAUAAAACAAUUUUCUGUUGCUUUCAGUGCACCAGAGUAAGGUUGCAAUCCUGUUCACAUGUUGGACUGCCCUGUCAAACCAAAUUUUGAAUUUAUUGCAGUUUGUGAACAUCUGUCAAGUCCUUUGUGCCCUGAUUGUUGUCCUUGGAGGAAUCUGGUGUCCUUUUAUCUUAUGAGAUCACAUGGCAGUUAUUUUGAACAGCUAAUGGCUUUCAGAUGGUCAAACAGCAUCUUAAAAAUGCAAUUUUCUGCAUUGCCAUGUUAAUAAAAAUGCCAUAUUUGCCAGACCCCCCCCCCCCAAAUGGUGGGGUACUUGGGGUAGGAACAGUCAGAUUAAUGUCUUCAAGUUCUUAGAAACUGUGGUGUUGACUUUUAAAUAGCUUCUGUUGACUUGGAAACAAAGGUAAUUGGUAAGAGUGGCAGCCAAGCUGGGGGAGAGGGUCAAGCGAUGCAUGUUGAUGAUUUUUUUUUAAAUCAUAAAGCAGUCAAACAAAAUUAUGAUGAGCAAUUUCUUCCUUCAUCUGAAGAAACUGGUGCAAAGGUGCGUUUCCCACUGAAUAUAAACAGCAGUCAUGGGGGUGACAUUGACAUGGGUACAGGGUUAAAGUCAUCCUCCCUCCAACAUCACAGGCACCAUCUAGAGUUCCCAUGGCUGUUGUUUAUCUGUUUAGUAAUUGUUAAGUGCAUGAAUAAUGGCAUCUCUUAUUUGGCCCUAAUUUAUGUGUGUGUUUUAAAAAGUGCACUUAAACGGACCACUUUUAUUUUGAAUAAAAAAUUGCUGUGGAUCCCAAACCCAGACUGUGCUCUGGAUCCUCACUGGGGGCCCAUGCAGUUUCCUCACCCAAAUCUUUUCUCCUCAAGGGCUGCCCACAAUUGAUGAUUUCCAGCAGGAAACUGACAAAAGGCCCUAAUCCUGUCAAAAAGACUCUUCACAAGCUUCCCCCCCCCCCAAUUUUUAAAGUCUACAUUUUCCUUCAAAACAAAAGUGAUUAUUUCUAUGUGUAAAUGAAACUUAAUAGAAAAGAAGUGGUUACUGUAUCAUCUCUGACUGUUUACAAAACUGCAAGUUGUAGCCCAAGUUGUAGCUUCGCCUUUAAACAGCCUCAUUUUUCUAGGCUCUGAUAUGCCUAGAAAUAUGUUUAUGCAGCAUGCACACAAAAUAUUGUUAUAGGUGUGAUUGUCAUGCAUAUGUAGAAUUUGCAUUCAACAAUGCUCAGCUGAAAGUGUGCAUAGCAAUGUUCCAAAGCUCCUUGCUUACGGAAAUGAUAAAAUAAGAACAACAUCGUUUUAUCAAAAUGCUAUUUUUCCUCUUCAGAAAUGGCAUGAUGGCAGAAAUGGAAGGUGUAGGAAACAUAAUCGGCUUGAACUGAAAUGCUGAAUUCCAUCCAUUCUUUCAAACAGGGUAAAUGGAAAUAGCUGAGACAUAAGUUUGAGUGUUGGCUAAAACUGAGCAUCAUUCAUUUAUUUAUUAAACCAUUUAUUUGUUUAUUUCUGCUGCUGUUGUUUCAAAAAAGUUUAGGAAAGUUAUUUACACAAUUAAAGUAAGAAACAAAGGCAACCAGAACUGAUUGAUAAAAGGCAACAGUCACACAAAAUCUACCCAGUCCAAAAAUAUUAAAAUCCAAUACCUAUAUACAGCUAAAAGCCACCAGCCUCCCAAUAAAGUAACAGUUCCAACUGAAGCUAAGUAAAAUAAAUGUCUCUUUAGGUGCUGUGGGUUAAACCACAGAGCCUAGGACUUGCCGAUCAGAAGGUUGGCAGUUUGAAUCCCCAUGAUGGGGUGAGCUCCCGUUGCUCAGUCCCUGCUCCUGCCAACCUAGCAGUUUGAAAGCACGUCAAAGUGCAAGUAGAUAAAUAGGUACCGCUCCAGCGGGAAGGUAAAUGGCAUUACGCUACUCUCGUUCGCCAGAAGCGGCUUAGUCAUGCUGGCCACAUGACCCGGAAGCUGUACGCUGGCUCCCUCGGCCAAUAAAGCGAGAUGAGCGCCGCAACCCCAGAGUUGGCCACUACUGGACCUAAUGGUCAGGGGUCCCUUUACCUUUUAAAGGCCUAUAGGGAUGACCCCCAGAUAACAGUAAGUUUCAGAGGCGUGGAGCCGUUGUAGAAAAUGCCCUCUCCCGAGUGUCUGCCAAUCUAACUGUUUGAGAUGGGCUGUUGAGUAGUAUCUCUCUUGCUGACCUUAAAGUGUGGUCAGGCUGAUAUGGGUAAAGGUAGUCUUCAAGCAGCUUGAGUGCAAACUGUUUAAGGUUUUGAAGAUUAAACCCAGCAUUUUACAUUGAGUUUUGAAAUGCAGUAGCCUCCAGUGCUGCUGACCAUUUAUUCAGUAUGCAACUGUGGCUGUAUUCAACAGCAGCAGGAAUUUCUCAAGCAUCUUUAAGGGUAGCCCCACAUAGAGAGCAGUGCAGUAGUCUAGCCUGAAUGUUCCAGGUACGUAGUAAUGAAAGCAAGAGCAGAAUCCUCCAGUUACUGGCUGCCGCUACCACUUCCACCUGCGUAUUCCCAGUUAGUAGCAGCUCCAGGAAGAUUCCUACUCAGUCCACAUGGACCUUCGGGGGUGUGCAACCCCAUCUGACACCCGUUUUAAACCCCUACCCACAGUGUUUGAUUUCCUUACCUCACAAUUCUCCUGUCAAGAUGUAGACUCAGGGUUUUUGUUCCUUCACCCACCCCAAAUUUCUUUCCAGGUACUGGUUCAAGAGUUCUCCAGUUUCCUUGAGACUAGUAGGUGGAAAUGAAAGGUAUUGCUGAGUAUUAUUCCUAUAAUGGUGAAAGUUCAACCCAAACCUCCAGAUGACUUCCUCCAACAGAUAGAUGUAGAUGUUAAAAAGCUCGAGAGACAUUUUGGAACUUUGUGGCAAUUGUCAUGGGUGGGAAUAAAAGACCCCCAGCACCAUCUGCCAGGACAGGACAGCUCCUUCAGAAAGAAUCAGAACCACUGUGACACCACAAGAUAAAUAAUAUAGUCCAUUUAACUUUAGCUGAAAGCUUCUGAGAGCCCCAGGAGACACAACAGGAUUGAACUCCCAUAGGAGCCAAGUCCUAGGGGCUGGGGUCCCUUCUCCACCCCCUAAAAUAUUUGAGGGGACCAGGACCCCCAAAGUUGAUGGACAUUUCCAUCAACAUGUAUGUGCCACAACAUGUGAUCGAUUAAGCGUGAUGGUGCUUACCUGAGCCCCCCACCCCCAAUAUUUCAUUGAAGUUAGGCUCCCCUGCACUCUCUUCAUCUAUUCUCCAGCAUAUAUUAUCCAUCCCCAAACUAAGCCUGUAAUGAAAUUUGUAUACAUCUAAAUAAUUAGCAUCAGUGCCUAGCAUCAAGGAACAACCACAUACUCAGACACCCUCCUCAAUAAUUGUAAAUUUGAGCCAGGCUAUAACUAUCAGAAACCACUGGAUCUGAAUUAGGCUUCAAAACAGUGAAGACUGCCCCAUUGCUCAAGGAGGCCUUGACCACCUUCAAAGGUCCAAACACCUAUCCCUGGUGGAUUUCACAAGUCAGGAUGGACAAAAGUCCUGAAAACAGAUGGCAGGUCUCAAUCCUUGAGGUAGUUUGUCUAUGUCCUCAGGCGACACAAGUGGAAAGGUAUCCCGAGUACCAUGAACAGACAUUGCAACAGUCCCAUCCAUCUCAGACUCUGUCAAAACAAUGGUAUCCAGCUCAUGUCCCACAUUCCGUAAAACUGCCCUAGGAAAACGUAACAUUUUUAUUUGGAAAAAGGAAAUAAAAAAAUGGGCCCCAUGUAUGUCCUCAGGCAAAGACUGAAGAAGAGGAAGCAACAGUCUCUUAACAAUGCAUAUUGUCCAUUUCCUUUUAGACAGGUCAGUAACACAAAUGUUUUCCUUGUCCAUAAACAGCCUGAAUCCCUCUUUCAGCAAAACCUGGUGGUCUCAAACCAUCAACAAGCAUAAAAACAUUUUCCCCAAAUAUUUGCCUUAACCAGUUUCUUUGCAGUGUGAAGAAAUAAACCAGCUCCCCCUUCCAUGGCCUGAUUCCUUAGAAGAGGUUUCUCCCCCCCACCCCCAUCCCUUACUGCCCCACAGCCCACCCCCUUACACACAUACACUUGCAAUUAGAGCUAUUCUCAUGUAACUUUCUUCCUCCUGUCUCUCCCUUGUAUAAUCUCCAUUUCCCUUCGACGUGCGUUAUUUGGUUUGGGAAUUAUGUCUAUUUACUCUGAGUGGAAGUUGUACAAAGGUUGUGUUUAUGGGAGAAAAUUAUAUCACUGACAAACGCUGAUUGGCAUGUGGACCUUGCGAGGGAAAACUGCAGAGGGUGUUUUCAUCAACUUGGAAUAACACAAUGAUUGUGUUUUCAGCAGAACUAAGUGUUCACAUACUCCAGUGCUUUCUGAUGGUUGUUUAUACAAGGCACAGCUUCCCAGAUCUGGGAGAGGGAGAGAGAGCAAACUUAACUGAGACAGGAAGCAAAUAGAACAUUAACCAUAAUGCAGAAGCAGGAAUUCCCUUUUGGUAGAAAAUCUGCUCUCUAAUUUCUAUAGAAACUGGUGGGAUGGUGGAAAAUAGUCUCGCAAGUUCGGUUUGCACAAUCCUGUAGACCCAUUUCUACUGCCAAACAUGAGUCAGCGGAUUUUAUAAUCUUGUAAACCCAUUUCUACUGCCAAAGAAGAGUCAGCAGAUUUUAUUAUAAGUAAGAAUUAGGGCCUCAUCUUUAAUGUAGCCAAACAAAAUAUUUAAGAUAUAUAUAUCAAAGGGAGAAACCUAAGUCUGUUGCUGUUUAAGGAACCUUUUGGGAGCGGACAGUCUGUAAUAAUUGUCAUCUUCAGUCAAUUCACAGGAUUGUUGACUUAAGUAAAACUGAUGGCCAUACACAGUAAUGUUUUAUCCUGGUGCAAAAGAGUAUUAAGUGCAAUCCUCAAUCCAUUUAUUCUUGCUAUUGCUUUAUUCUGGGAAAGUGAAUUGAAACACAGCGAUCUUUUCAAAAAACAAAACAGAAAGCAGGUGCUUGGAUUUAAGUGAUUUAGCAGUAGUUGACUUCAAUACAGCCAAUAUCCUUUAAACCUUAGUAGUGACUAUAUACAGAUUUAGGAGAGGUAGGUUGCUUUAGUACAAUAGAUAAAGGAUCUGGGAGUAACCUUCCUAGUUUCAGAUACUGAGGGAAAUUCAUAAUAAUCUCUUGGAAUAAUAGCAGUUUGGUGUGUUACUGACUGUGAAGGGAAUAGGAAGUACAAGCGAUUUGCACUUUCUGCUGUCUAUUCUUCUUUGCAAUGUAUGAGAAAGAAAUCACACUCCCACCCCCCACCCCAUGGUGAGAUGUGCACACUGUUUCCAUGUUCAAAACUUGUGCACCCCUCCAAAGUGGGUUCUUUCUUCCCUGUCAUCCAGUAAUACCACUUUAAAGUUUGCCUGUGCAGCAUCUCUCUAUAUGCAAUACAGAAAAUAUUAUUAGCAAACACUGAUUUAAACAAUGCAACAAAUUAGAUUUCAGGCUACUAAUUUAUUCUUCCUUUUCCAUCCCUUCUCUUUCCCAGCCUUUUAGAAAACCCAGCAACAACAUGACAUGAAAAGAAAGGGGUCCUGUUUGCUGUUUGUUGUAUAUAAUAGGUUCCUGAGCUGGAAGAGGAGUUGCUUUUAAAAAUCAGCAGCUCACACUUAAGUUACUAAGUCAACUUUUUUUGUAUUGUUUCAGAUUUUUUCAUGCAAUAGACUCCAUCUGUGGUAUAGAUGUACUUUAUGCAGGUUAUAUUAAAUUAUAUUUUAAUAACUCUCCAUAUUCCCCCCCGCCCCCUUUAUCCACUUCAGUUUUUAAAAUCUCAGC